rnacentral:rRNA from 1 species
UACGUAGGGGGCAAGCGUUGUCCGGAAUUAUUGGGCGUAAAGAGCUCGUAGGCGGUUUGUCGCGUCUGCUGUGAAAACGCGAGGCUCAACCUCGCGCCUGCAGUGGGUACGGGCAGACUGGAGUGCGGUAGGGGAGAUUGGAAUUCCUGGUGUAGCGGUGGAAUGCGCAGAUAUCAGGAGGAACACCGAUGGCGAAGGCAGAUCUCUGGGCCGUAACUGACGCUGAGGAGCGAAAGCGUGGGGAGCGAACAGG